UCCGGGCGGACGCCGAGUCCUGCCGCCGUCCGGAUGACUGGUCGACAGGAGUGGAUCGGCAGGAGUGGAGGACCCAAGCAGUACGGGUGACCGAACGAUGUUCGUCCCAUCGGUCGCCCUUGGGGUGAAGCCGCGUCAGCGGCCGGGCAACUUCGCCAGUCCGAACCCGACAGGUCAUCCUUCACAGGCGGCUGACGAAGGGUUG
rnacentral:sRNA from 2 species